UACGUAGGGGGCAAGCGUUGUCCGGAAUUAUUGGGCGUAAAGAGCGCGUAGGCGGUCCGAUAAGUCGGCUGUGAAAGUCAGGGGCUCAACCCUUGAAAGCCGGCCGAUACUGUCGGACUAGAGUUCGGAAGAGGCGAGUGGAAUUCCCGGUGUAGCGGUGAAAUGCGCAGAUAUCGGGAGGAACACCUAUGGCGAAGGCAGCUCGCUGGGACGUUACUGACGCUGAGGCGCGAAAGCGUGGGGAGCGAACAGG
rnacentral:rRNA from 1 species